rnacentral:lncRNA from 1 species
CAUAAGUGGGUUGUAAAAUUAUUUGCUUUAAAGGUUGUCAUUCAUAGCUUAGUUGUUUUUUUUGUUGUAUCUCUAGCCUCUCCUUUAUAGCGGUGUUUGUUCUUGUACCGUCCAAUUCGGGUUUGUCUUGUUCCCGGUUCGGUUUGUUUAUAAAAUGAAUAUAUUAUUUCAGAGCUUGUGUUUCACUAGAUGACGUGAAGGAGGAGUACGACUACCUAUAUGGCUGAAGAUGUUAUCAAUUAAUGAUGCAAAAAGGAGGCAAAAAUAAUAGUUGAUCAUUAAUUGGUAAGUUGUAUCUUAUAAAUAUUUUAUAAUCCAAAUAUAUUCUGAUCUGGCUGUUGUGCUUGGUAGAAAAUGUAGUUUGGUAUUGUGACACUAAAACUUUAGAGUAAUGGGGAUAAUGAUAAUGUCCCCAAGGUCAUACUAUUUUUCCUGUUAAAAAGAUUAUUUUUAAAUGGGCUAUUGAAACACUAGAAUGAAUUAUGAGCAUGCUGAUGCACCAAACGAUGUAUUAUCAAGCAAAUGCCUAUAUACUUGAUUUUUUGUACAUCUAUAUAUAUAAUGACUAUGUUUUAUUAUACAGGUAGUUUAAGGCCAUUCUUUUCUCAAUGAACUAGGUGGUUCUCAUCAAAUGACAGGUCGCAGAAGAAAGUAGGGCUAGAGUUUGACAAUCUCUUUUGUAAUGGUCUUUGUUUUGUACUAAAAUUUCAUUGAUUUUUCUCAUAAAUAUGGCCAAAGUUUGACAUAUCUCUUUUGUAGUGGUCUUUGUGUUUGUACUAUUCAAUU